GAAAAGAAGGUGGCGAUCCUGGUCAGUGAUUUAUUAAAUGUCAGAAAUGUUUAUUUGUCCAUUAUUAGUUCUAUAUUUAUUAUUCUCAUUAUAACAGAUGACAAAGUGAGACGGGAACAUUUUCAGUUUUUAUUCAGUUGCACAGUAAUUUUGCAAACUAGUAGAUUCUCAAUAAUCACACACAGAUAUUGUUCUAGACAAAAUCUCACUUUUACUAUAUUAAAUAUUCAGGUUUGACAGGUUAUUACAGAGAGCGAAGUGGUUGUUCAACAAUAAAAUGAAUCCUCCAAACUACAACUUGUGUAAUAAUUGUUUACACAGAGAAUAACCUCAGAUCAGAUUAUGACCUCAGGCGUUGCUGAAAGCUCUGAUGUUUCAUCACAUGGAGAUGUUUGUAGAUGUGAAUCUUGGUUUUUCACCAUGAGAUGCAGAUUUCUCUACCAGCUGCCAGGUUCUGAUGACACGACUCUGAUGUUUAUCUCCCAGCGUUUCUGUUAGAACCAGAACAUCAGCAGAAGAUAGAAAUGAACUGAGAUCCUGGAGAAAGUAAAUAAUCAGGAAAGAUUGCAGAGAUCUGCAGCUGUUAUAGUUUAGUUAUGAACAACUGAGAUAAUUUUAUUAGAUUCAGGAUCUUUGAACCUCCUGCAGCAUCUUUUAAAGCCCCGCCCCCAAUGGGCGGAUCCAGUCUGAUAUAAAGUGGAGUCAACGCAGAGAGGGUCAGUCGCUUCAUCUUCUUCACCACCAUCAUCAUCAUCAUCAUCAUCAUCGGUUCCAGUCAGACUCUCAUCUGGACUCUCCAGUUUCCAGCAUGAUGGCAGGAUGGAGGCAGACAUGGAGGCCUCUGCAGCUUCUGGUCAUCUUCAGCCUCCUCAUCCUCACCAACCAGACCGAGAUGAGAGGAGAAGCUGAGGAGAAGCUGAACCUCAGAGGAACGUCGCAGGAAGAGCUGCACAUCUCCUCACCAAGGUAGGAGGAGCUAACGCUAGCUAACAUUCAGUCAGGUAGGAGGAGCUAACG